rnacentral:rRNA from 1 species
UAGGGGAAUCUUCCACAAUGGACGAAAGUCUGAUGGAGCAACGCCGCGUGAGUGAAGAAGGGUUUCGGCUCGUAAAACUCUGUUGUUAAAGAAGAACAUAUCUGAGAGUAACUGUUCAGGUAUUGACGGUAUUUAACCAGAAAGCCACGGCUAACUACGUGCUAG